AGAGAGAGAGAGAGAGAGAGAAUCCUAAGCAGGCUCUGUGCUGACAGCACAGAGCUUGACGUGGGGCUCACUCUCAACCAUCACGAGAUCACGACCUAACCUGAAAUCAAGAGUCAGAUGCUUAACUGACUAAGCCACCCAGGCGCCCCUGUUAGAGUCCUUUAAAGAAGACAAGAGUUCAAGGAGAAUGGAAGAGAAGGAAGGAACAUCAACAUCAACAAAAGAAGGAAGUGUGAUGUGGGUCUUAAAAAUGAGGUAGGAUUGGGAUGUGAGGAGCAUCUCUCUACAACAUCUUGCCUGCUGGUGCCAUGAUCCUGAAUAUUCAGUCACAGCUGGAACUGCUGGCAUGCACCACUGCCAUUGGUAGGUGGUAUUACCUGUGAUCUGAUCUCUUGCAGCUUGGACUGUGGCUGGUGGCCCUCCAUCUCAUGUGGCCUCACUCUGUUCCUGCUGAUUUGAAAGGCCUGUGACUCCCAUUCAUCUGCCACAACAUCAAAACACUCUUGCUCAGAAAUAGAGCUCCCCAAACUCUCAGUUUCCUCUAUGUUGAAUCCACACCACUGGAGCACAAAAAGCAAACAAGAAACACUAAAGCAUCAGAUAAGCCUGUCUCUUCCACCACACGACACCACCAGGAUUACUUUGAGGGAGCUGUCCCAGAGGUGACGUGGGAAGUGGUUGCCUUCUGGAGUCCCAGGUAGGGGUACAACAGAACUGUCAUGGCAUUGAAGACUCCAAGUUACCUAGAUGUUCCUAAAGCUACCCACUGUCCUUCAAGGUUGGCCUUGAGGCUGAGAUAAGAGGAGAACAAAGGACCAUGAGGAGCUCUUGCUCUACAGGCCUCUAUUAGGCAGCAGGGAAGGGGAGUUCCCUCCUUCCUGCCAGGUGGGGGACUCAUUUCUACACCUGGCCCUCCUGCGCCUGCUUCAAAAUGUUCUUGGACCUGGCCCAUUGCCUGAAGAGAAAAAAGGUAUAGGACAACCACGCAUUGUGUAACACAUUACAUCGCAGAGGGAAGUUGCCUGGAACUCUCCUCAGCUGGUUUAUAAAGGAGAAGGUAAAAGAAUGGGACACGGGAUACUUAAAUUUUACAAAGUUGUUCAAGAGCAGGGAUGGCAAACCGGCUUCUUCCGCAGAAGAUGGCAAUCUUCUUUCAUCAGCUGGCAAUCCCACU